UACGGAGGGGGCAAGCGUUAUUCGGAAUUACUGGGCGUAAAGGGCGCGUAGGCGGCCGCCUAAGUCAGACGUGAAAUCCCUCGGCUCAACCUGGGAACCGCGCUUGAGACUGGCACGCUCGAGUUCGGGAGAGGAUGGUGGAAUUCCCAGUGUAGAGGUGAAAUUCGUAGAUAUUGGGAAGAACACCGAUGGCGAAGGCAGCCAUCUGGACCGACACUGACGCUGAGGCGCGAAAGCGUGGGGAGCAAACAGG
rnacentral:rRNA from 1 species